rnacentral:rRNA from 1 species
AUUCGUCCAAGUGAAGCAGAGGACAGUGGCGGACGGGUGAGUAACGCGUGAGGAACCUGCCUUUCAGAGGGGGAUAACAUUUGGAAACAGAUGCUAAUACCGCAUAUGCCAUAACUACCGCAUGGUAGAAGUGGGAAAGGAGCAAUCCGCUGAUAGAUGGCCUUGCGUCUGAUUAGUUAGUUGGUGGGGUAACGGCCUACCAAGACGACGAUCGGUAGCCGGACUGAGAGGUUGAACGGCCACAUUGGGACUGAGACACGGCCCAGACUCC